rnacentral:rRNA from 1 species
UACAGAGGAGCCAAGCGUUGUCCGGAUUGACUGGGCGUAAAGCGCACGCAGGCGGAUGCGCGCGUGGGGUGUGAAAUCUGGCCGCUUAACGGCCAGGCGCCAUCCCAUACGGCGCGUCUGGAGUGAUGCAGAGGUCGAUGGAAUUGCCGGUGUAGUGGUGAAAUGCGUAGAGAUCGGGAGGAACACCGGUGGCGAAGGCGGCUUCCUGGACCGAUACUGACGCUGAGGCGCGAAAGCUAGGGGAGCAAACGGG